ensembl:lncRNA
GGGACAGGAGAACAGCACUACUCAUUCAGUGAGUGAAUGGGGACAGGAGAACAGCACUACUCAUUCAGUGAGUGAAUGGGGACAGGAGAACAGCACUACUCAUUCAGUGAGUGAAAGGGGACAGGAGAACAGCAUUGACUAUUGAAAUCAUUUAAUGCUUUUAAAAACAAAUACAAGUUACUUCACUGGAUCAUCACAUGUGAACAAGAAUAGAUUUUUUUCCACCAAUAUUUGUAAUAACACCCUCAGACAUAUUUCCCAUUCACAUGGCUGCAUACAGACAACUUCUCUCUCUUUUUAUUUCGUUGCAGUUGAUUAUUUACAGUCAAUCUAAGGAAUGCAUCGGCUCUGUGACAAUAAUAGCUCAUAUCGGCAGCAUAUUAAAACCUUGCUGUUUGGGAUGCAAAAUUCCGGUAACUUUCCCCCAAGAUUCCCAGGUUUUCCAGACAUUCCAGUUGGAAGAUUUCUGGAAUCAGGAGGGAACAAGCAGAAUGUGAACGCGACCUACUGUGCUGGAGUGGUCAGAUUCAGGUGGAUGAUGGUGGUAACACUAAUUUAUGCAUAUCAACUCAAUCUAGCCAUCAAAGGUAGGGGUGAACAUUUCCAGUAACUUCCGCCAAAUUCCCAGAAGUCCAGACUGGAGUUACCAGAAUUUUGCAAACCUAAUCAUAGUUGAUCUGUAUUAUAUAUGUUUGCAGUCAAAAUAGGUCUGUUGUUGUGGGUUGAUAGGUCUGUUAUUGUGGGGACGAUAGGUCUAUUGUUGUGGGGAUGAUAGAUCUGUUGUUGUGGGUUGAUAGGUCUGUUGUUGUGGGGGAGAUAGGUCUGUUGUUGUGGGGAUGAUAGGUCUGUUGUUGUGGGUUGAUAUGUCUGUUGUUGUGGGGACGAUAGGUCUAUUGUUGUGGGGACAAUAGGUCUGUUGUUAUGGGGAUGAUAGGUCUGUUGUGGGGAUGAUAGGUCUGUUGUUGUGGGUUGAUAGGUCUGUUGUUGUGGGUUGAUAGGUAUGUUGUUGUGGGUUGAUAGGUCUGUUGUUGUGGGGAUGAUAGGUAUGUUGUUGUGGGUUGAUAUGUCUGUUGUUGUGGGGACGAUAGGUCUGUUGUUGUGGGGGAGAUAGGUCUGUUGUUGUGGGGACGAUAUGUCUGUUGAUUUGUGGGUUGAUAGGUCUGUUGUUGUGGGGACAAUAGGUCUGUUGUUGUGGGGACAAUAGGUCUGUUGUUGUGGGUUGAUAGGUCUGUUGUUGUGGGUUGGUAGGUCUGUUGUGGGGACGAUUGGUCUGUUGUUGUGGGGAGAUUGGUAUGUUGUUGUGGGGAGAUAUGUCUGUUGUUGUGGGGACGAUUGGUCUGUUGUUGUGGGUUGAUAGGUCUGUUGUGGGGACGAUAGGUCUGUUGUUGUGGGUUGAUAGGUCUGUUGUUGUGGGGACGAUAGGUCUGUUGUUGUGGGUUGAUAGGUCUGUUGUUGUGGGUUGAUAGGUCUGUUGUUGUGGGGACGAUAGGUCUGUUGUUGUGGGUUGAUAGGUCUGUUGUUGUGGGUUGAUAGGUCUGUUGUUGUGGGUUGAUAGGUCUGUUGUUGUGGGGGAGAUAGGUCUGUUGUUUAUUGAACAGGCAGGAGGGCCCCUAAAUAAAACCCAUCUAUAAUCUCAACUUCAAUAUUAUAUACAUUAUUUACAAUGGAAUGUUGGGCUGAAGCUUUCAGACUUAAUGCUAUUGUAUACAAAAGAGUUGAAGCCUUCAGACUUAAUGCUAUUGUAUACAAAAGAGUUGAAGCCUUCAGACUUAAUGCUAUUGUAUACAAAAGAGUUGAAGCCUUCAGACUUAAUGCUAUUGUAUACAAAAGAGUUGAAGCCUUCAGACUUAAUGCUAUUGUAUACAAAAGUAUAUUGAGGGAAUGACAAUGAAAAACAAGAUAGAGAAUAAUUUUUACAACAACCAUAAUCUAUGGAUUCAAGGACAACACCAAUACCUAAUUCUGUCAUUCUCCCAUGUUUUUUUAAUCAUUUCAGGUCAAGUAUGGCAGUGGUUCCUAAAAGGAACAAAACAUUGAUUUGUGCUUGAAAAGAAAUAUAAUUGACUUCAGUUAUGGAAAUGCUUUGGGCACUGGGACACCGUUGUGUCCUAAGGGUGUUUGAAUUAUACCAAAUCUCUCAAUUACUGUGGGAAUCAUUCUGUUUUCAACUCUGCAGACGUUCUCCAGCCAUUUAGGUGUUUUCACGGGGAAUCAAAGUGCUGGAGGGUUGAAGUGAAGAGGAAGUAACAUCUAAUGUCUCUCCUUUCUCUGUCAUGUGAUAGGACAUUAUGGAAGCUGUUUCUGACAUCACAGAGAUACAAGCUAUAUUAGGAUCAUUCCUCCUCAACUUUAACGUCAAAGAGAACUUCUCUUCUUCAUCUACGGUAAAUCAUUCUUUAUAUGCAAUAUAUUUGAACAAAACCUCACUUCUCACAAAAGGCAUAGGCCCUAACAUACCCGAAGGAAUAAGAAAAUAAAGGAUCAUGUAUGGUCUCUUUCAUAAAACGUGUUGCAUGUGGUUUUCUUUCAGAAUCAUUGCAGCAGAAAUAAAGAACACAAGGCGAAAAUAACAAUGGUUUAACGCCGUUAUAGUUCUCAUCUUUAAAGUCUAACACAUAGUGGUGGUUCAGAAUCAGAAUCACAUUAUAGUGGUGGUUCAGAAUCAGAAUCACAUUAUAGUGGUGGUUCAGAAUCAGAAUCACAUUAUAGUGGUGGUUCAGAAUCAGAAUCACAUUAUAGUGGUGGUUCAGAAUCAGAAUCACAUUAUAGUGGUGGUUCAGAAUCAGAAUCAACACAUUAUAGUGGUGGUUCAGAAUCAGAAUCAACACAUUAUAGUGGUUGUUCAGAAUCAGAAUCACAUUAUAGUGGUGGUUCAGAAUCAGAAUCACAUUAUAGCGGUGGUUCAGAAUCAGAAUCACAUUAUAGUGGUGGUUCAGAAUCAGAAUCACA